rnacentral:tRNA from 1 species
GUUUUUAUGGUGUAAUCAACACAUAAUUUUUUCAGAAUUAAGAUAACGAUGGAUUUAAAAAUA